rnacentral:rRNA from 1 species
CUUUUGGACAUCCGUGAUCUUCAUGAAGGGCCUUUGGUGCUCGUAAGGGAUUUUAACCUUCUUGUCAACCCCAGAGACAAGAACAAUGAUCUGAUCAACCGAAGGAUGAUUUCAAGAUUCCAAUCUUGGCUAAAAGUCCUUAUGGAGAUUUACCUCAAUGGCGGUAGGUACACACAGUCCAACGAGCGGGAAAAUGCUACUUUGGAGAAGAUUGAUCAUGUUUUCGCAAUUAUUUUCUGGGAGGAACUACACCCACCUUGCUUCCUCUCGCCUUGGGCACCGCGGUCUCUGACCAUUGCUUGUUGCUGUUGCACCUCAACACGGAGUUCCAAGUGG